GUAUUAUCAUCAUCAUCUCUCUCUCUGUUAGGGGGUUGGUAUUAUCAUCAUCUCUCUCUGUUAGGGGGUUGGUAUUAUCAUCUCUCUCUCUGUUAGGGGGUUGGUAUCAUCAUCUCUCUCUGUUAGGGGGUUGGUAUCAUCAUCAUCUCUCUCUGUUAGGGGGUUGGUAUUAUAAUCAUCUCUCUCUCUCUGUUAGGGGGUUGGUAUUAUCAUCAUCUCUCUCUCUGUUAGGGGGUUGGUAUUAUCAUCAUCUCUCUCUCUGUUAGGGGGAUGGUAUUAUCAUCAUCUCUCUCUCUGUUAGGGGGUUGGUAUUAUCAUCAUCUCUCUCUGUUAGGGGGUUGGUAUUAUCAUCAUCUCUCUCUCUGUUAGGGGAUGGUAUUAUCAUCAUCUCUCUCUCUGUUAG
rnacentral:lncRNA from 1 species